GCACUGCUGUGAAGUCCCACAAUAGGACGAAACGGCCGUCCAGUGC
rfam:Schistosoma rodhaini strain Burundi genome assembly, scaffold: SROB_scaffold0001817